CGGCGGCGGCCCUGCCUGGAGCUGGUGGCGUUCGUGUCGUGUCCGUGCGUCCGGGCCCUGUCCCUGUGUCCUGUCCCCGUGUCGUGUCGUGUCCCUGACGUGCCGCCGGGGCCGUGUCCCCGUUACGUGACCCCAGGACUUGGCUUCCACCCUGUAUCCCCCGUGUCCUUGUGCCGUGUUCCAGUGCCGCGUCCCCCAUGAUACAUUCCAUUGCCAUGUGCCGUGUUCCAAGUGCCAUAUCUUGCGUCCCAUGUGCCAUGACCCUGGUACCGUGUUCUGUGCAGCACAUCCCGUGUGCCAUGUGCCACCGGCCCAGUGCCUUGCCUGCAUGCUGUGCCCCCUUUCCUGUCAGGACCCGUCACCUGAGCUGCGGUGACCUGUUGUGAACUUCCCACGAGGCAUCAGCUGUGCACAUGGGUCUUGCUGGCUUGGGGUCCCCUCUACGGCCUUCCAGCCCCUGCACUCCACAUCCACCGAAGGUCCAGUACCAGUAGCAUCUGUUGGAGUUCUACUCCCAUCCCACCCAUCGAUCCUGCUCCCUUGGAUGUGACAAGCAGCCUCUGGCCCAUCCUUUUCCCUGGGCCGGACGCGAGUGGGUGUGCUGGAUCUGAACUGUGGUAUCAUCCCUCCAUAGGCUCUGCCACCUGCUCUCUUCUGCAAGCACUCCCCUGAGCCAACCCCAUCCCAAAACAUCCCAGGGGGAUGCUUCUGCCAUCCUGGAAGGAGUACCAGACUGGACUGGGCUGUGGGAAGCAGGAGCAAAGGACACACACUUCACGGGGUUAUCAAGCGGGAAGGAGAGAGACAGCUGCUGCUGGGCAUCGGCAGCAGGCUCUGCACAUCCCCUCACCCUUCCCUACCAGUGUGCCAGGGGGAAAGGAGAGAGGACAGUCUGCUGGGACUUCAGAUACGGACUGCACACCUCUUCACCUCCAGCUACCAGUGUGCCACAGAGACUCCAGGGACAGACUCUGCAGCCUUCUCCCCCUUCGGCUAGCGGAAAAGCUACAACAGCGGGGGCGAGCUCAUUGUCCAGCCCCCUGCCGAGCUGACUUUUUAAUAAAGAGCUGAACAUUAA